CAAAGACCAUCUGCUGCCAAUAUUUACUUAACCAAGUUGAGACUUCUAAGGCUACCUGGAGGUUGGUGGUGGAUGUGGAGGUAAACGGGAUUCCUGGCUCCUUGACUGCCCAUCCUAUUGGCCAAGUUCAGAGGGUAGUGCUACAAAUACAGCCAAGUGUCCUCAGCUCCCAUUUUGAGUUUUGCCGAUCAUCAAACUUCCCUAGCCAAGCCAUUUUUUACCUCGUUCUUCUCUCCCCCGUGUAAGGAAAAUAUUUCUGGCAAGGCCAUUUAUCUGACUCCCCUUGCUUUUCCUGGGUGAGAAACCUAGCAGGAAGGUCCACUGCAGACAUCAGAAAAGCUCACAGCAGCUUAACUCAAAGCACCCUGCUCUGCUGUCCUCUUCCCUGUGACAAAAAGCUCCACUCUUCCUUUUCUGCCUCAGACAUGCAACAGGCAAAGGAAGGUGGGAGUUAAGUAUGGGCAUAUAGGGCCCAAAACAGCAACUGCAUGCUCACUGGAGUGGUGCAGCUGACACCUCAAUGGUGUUCAGCACCAAGUCUUUGCUCACUGCUGUUUUCCCACUAGAAGAUAGUGGUGGAUGUCAGGGGUGGUGUCCUACAGUUUGAC
rnacentral:lncRNA from 1 species